UGAUGGCAGUGAUGAUUUUUUUUAACUUAUUAUGUUCACCUGAUAUGCAAAUAUGAGGGUGUACCGUCACUACCUCAUCUGAUGCCAUCU
rnacentral:snoRNA from 14 species